GCGGCAAGAAGCGCCCGGCACUCAGGGCCGAGAGGGCAGCCGAGCGGGGCGAGACGUCGGCUCGGCCACCCGUGUCUGGCCCGCCUCCGGGGACACAAGGAGGCCGCCCCUCGGCCCAGCACUGGCACGGACGAGUGGGAGGUUUGGUUCCAGUCUGAAUUCAUCUAAUCCAGAAGAUUUUUCUAAAGAUAUGAAUUAUCACCAACACUAUGAAUUUGUUUUGCUAUUUAGCUUAACAUUAUAGCCUCAGUCAGCAAAUAGCCUGCUUUUUAAGUAAGCAAGUAAGCAGUGGACAAGAACGAAUCAAAAAAGCUAUCCUUUGAGCAUCUUCUGACGCCCUCCAAAUACAGAAGCAUCACAUGUGUACUUGGAAGAACUGAUCUGGACAUGCCUUUUAAGAAGAUAUAAGUAUUUGGUCAAGACCAGAGUGAAGGGGCUUACUGCCGUCAUUUCAUUUUGAUGAUACUACAAAUGACAGCACCUGGAAGGCAUGGCAGUGCUGAAAGUGACCUUCAGUUUACUCCUAACAUCUCGAUGCAAACUGACUCCAGUUCUCCUAAGAGAGGUGCAACUGAGCAGCACUGCAGGAAUCAUGUGCAAAGAAGCUUCUGGAUGCAGGACAGAGCACAGCCUCAGGAAGAUCACCUGAUUACCUCUUCCAGCCCUGGCAAACAGAGGGCUCAGCUGGGUUACCCAAGUUCACAGGAGCUAUUGACAUUCAGCAGCAGCUCUCUCUCAUUAUGGAUCAGCAGGGGACUGUCUGGGUCUUAGGUUAACUCUUCCCUACCCUGUUAGGGAGAUUACAUUGGAGCCAAAAAAGAGGCUGUAAUGUAGCUUCACCUCAGUUUAUUCCUGGUUGUUAUUCAAGCAAUGAACCUUUUAAACCAAUAGUUAAUAAACCUCUUACAAGCAACUAUCCACUUAAUCGUUUUAAACUAGAUAAAACACAAGUAAAUUUAUUUGUCUCCUUUUAGUUCAUUAUGCAGUUAACGUUUAUUUCUGGGGAGGGUGGGUGUAGCCAGGCUAUGUUUCACCUUCCCAUCAAAAAGAAUUCCCACUUAAUUUUUAGUGAAGAGGCCUCAUAUAGUUUCUAAAAGGCAUUUUUAAUUCUUUUUCACUUAGAAGUGCAGGUUUUCCUUGAAUCACUCAUGUAAAACUAAAAACUCAUCAUCUGAGAAGUGAAUUUUAGGGAAGUUUGGAACCUCUGUUAGUUUGCAGACUCCGAGCUCUUAGUGGUGAGCCAGUUCCCCUAGGCUUUGAUCUCCUGCUGACACAUGAUGAUCUUGUAGAAGUGACUUAACCUGUCUGCUUCUAUGAACUCAUUUGUAAAUUAAUAAUGGGUAAUUAAUCCAUGAGGCAUGUCUUUCUGGUAGCUAUGGGAAGACUAACUCACUAUCAAACCCAGGGCCCUCUAAAUCACCUCUGUCAUUGCUACCUCUCUGUUUUUAAAAAUUCUUAUUGGCCCUGGAACACACAUUCUGAAUUCUAGGUUCUCUUCCUUUUUGCCUAACUACUCCUGCAAGUGGUUGAGGAUCUACACACAGUGGAGGCCAAUUUUCAUUCAACUACUAUAUUUAAUAAAAACUAUUAAGUUCUUUUUGAAGGGCUAACCACUUCUAAGACCAUUAAGGAGCUUAGAGUUAAGCCAGAAGACUUGGAGUUACAAAACAAUGUUGCCAAUUCUAGAGAAUCCAAAUGAAUGAUUGAGACUCCAGGUGGAUUUGGUGAGUUAGGAGUUACCCAAUUUGAUUUUUGAUUCUAUUGGAUGACCUAGCUAACUGCCAAAUCUAUGUUUGACAUGAGGAAAUAAAGACUACUUAGGGAGAUGCAUUCAGUCAUGACUUUAAUCACAAAUGCAAACAGAGAUUCCCAGAUCUAUCUCUAUCUCUAACAUUUGCCAUUGUUGAUCUUUCCAUCUGCUAUGGAGGUUCUAGGAGUUGUGUCAGCUUUAUUGUGUUAAUUUAGUGUGAACGAAGUAAAUUCAGGUAAUGC